rnacentral:rRNA from 1 species
AGGUGUAAGUACAGUAAUGUAUUGAGCUGACCAAUACUAAUAGACCGAGGGCUUGACCUAAUAUA